ACUAUUUUGGCAGAUAAAUGCAAUAAAUUUAGAAUUUAUUUAUAUAAUUAAAUUAAUUAUAAUUAGUA
rnacentral:tRNA from 1 species